ensembl:lncRNA
GGAAGAUAGAAUACAGGAAGACAGAAUACAGGAAGAUAGAAUACAGGAAGACAGAAUACAGGAAGAUAGAAUACAGGAAGAUAGAAUACAGGAAGAUAGAAUACAGGAAGACAGAAUACAGGAAGGUAGAAUACAGGAAGGUAGAAUACAGGAAGACAGAAUACAGGAAGACAGAAUACAGGAAGACAGAAUACAGGAAGAUAGAAUACAGGAAGAUAGAAUACAGGAAGAUAGAAUACAGGAAGGUAGAAUACAGGAAGAUAGUAUACAGGAAGGUAGAAUACAGGAGGGUAGUAAACAGUAGGACAGAAUACAGGAGGGUAGUAUAUAGUAGGACAGAAUACAGGAGGGUAGUAUAUAGUAGGACAGAAUACAGGAGGGUAGUAUAUAGUAGGACAGAAUACAGGAGGGUAGAAUCCAGGAGUGAUGAAUAGUGCCAACUAUAAAGUUUGGUGGAUGAGGAAUAAUGGUCUGGGGCUGUUUUUCAUGGUUCGCACUCCUUAGUUCCAGUGAAGGGAAAGCUUAACGCUGCAGCAUACAAUGACAUUCUAGAAGAUUCUGUACUUCCAACUUUGUGGCAACUGUUCGGGGAAGCCCUUUCUUGUUUCAGCAUGACAAAACGAGGUCCAUACAGAAAUGGUUUGCUGAGAUCAGUGUGGAAGAACUUGACUGGCCUGCAGAAAGCCCUGACCUCAACCCCAUCAAACACCUUUGGGAUUAAUUGGAACACCGACUGCGAGCCAGACACAAUCGCCCAACAUCAGUGCCCGACCUCAUUAAUGCUUGUGGCUGAAUGGAAGCAAGUCCCCGCAGCAAUGUUCCAACAUCUAGUGGAAAGCCUUCCCAGAAGAGUGGAGGCUGUUAUAGCAGCAAUGUUCCAACAUCUAGUGGAAAGCCUUCCCAGAAGAGUGGAGGCUGUUAUAGCAGCAAUGUUCCAACAUCUAGUGGAAAGCCUUCCCAGAAGAGUGGAGGCUGUUAUAGCAGCAAAGGGGGAACCAAGUCCAUAUUAAUGAGAUGUUGAGGU